rnacentral:lncRNA from 1 species
GGCGGGGCCGGGCGCGGGCGGAGCGGGGGCGGGUUGGAGGGGCGGAAGGGCAGCGCCCUGGACAGGGCAGGGCGGGAUCAGGACGUGUGGACCUGACCGGGUGGCCUGAGGGCAGAGCGAGGGGGGAAGACCGGGGCGGGGCGGGGACAGGCCUGGGAGGGGGGGAGUGGGCAGCCGACUGGGGGCGGGCCAGAGCCGGGGAAGGGGCCGGUCACCCUUGGCCAGAAAAAGGGCAGUGACCGCGGGGCACACCGGGCGGGGGCUGGGCCUGCAGGUGGCGGCUGGGGCGGGGGCUGGGGCGGGAGGUGGGGGUCGCGUCCCAUCCCUGUGCACCCUCCGGGAUUCUACCCCGGGGAACUGGACGCAGCAGGUCUCGGGAGUCUCAGCUGCUCUGGAGCGAGUGGCAGGGAGUGGCGGAGUCGCUGGGACAGCACCCAGGACUGAUAAAACUUCAGGAUUUGAAUGCAGGGGUGGGCCCCAGAAGAAGAGACAGACUCCGCAAAGUGUUUGUUUUCCUCCCCAAGGAGCAAACCAGCAUUUUGGAGCCUUUAGCUCACAGCGUUUAGAAUGGACUUGGAGACGCCCAGAGUUGAGGAACUUCUGCCUUCCCUUAUUUGUAACCCCUGGAAGGGAUCUGGCCACUCCUUAGGUAAGUGAAAGCUUACCUUGUUCUCUGCUCUAACGCCAACCACUG